rnacentral:tRNA from 1 species
GGGGUUGUGGCUCAGCGGUAAAGCACUCGCCUCUCAUGUGAGACCUUGGGUUCGAUCCUUAGCAACACAU